rnacentral:misc_RNA from 1 species
AUUUCUUUUCUAUACACAUGUAUUUUACCCCUUUUAUGAAUAGAAAUUCUAUACUAGCCUACCAAAACUUUAAAGUAUUUUAUAAUGACCUCAAAGUUUUUAAAUUCUCAUUUUUAUAUAUGCAUUUCUUGCCCAAUUUAUAAAUUUUCUCCAUCUUCAGCCCCUUAGAAUUUAAUAAUAAUUUCAUACAUACCUUAUACGUUCAACCCCCUAAGUUUAAAUAUUCAGUCUACUGCUAACAGCUCCAACAGAUGAGAGGCAUUUCCUCUUAUCCAUGUAAUGUGAGUUCAUGACAACAAAUUUAUUUGCUCAAAGAAGAAAAGAUCCAAAUCUGGUAACGGUGGACAAAUUCAAGAACAACAUCAUAGUCAAGCGAAUUCAAGAGCUAUGAGAAGCAAGAAGGAACUAGAGAAAUAGAAUUCAUUUUGGAUUUACAAGUCAUAGAAAAGGUUUUAGAAGUAUUGCUGGAAUUUUAAUCAAACUUAAGAGAUUUUAUUUUAAUUUGCCAUUAGUGAAAAUAAGAACAUAAAUCAGAGAAAUAGAUUAGGAGCAUUGAGGUGGGAAUUCCAUGGAACAGGAAUUCUAAAGUUUAAAGUUCAAUGACAAUUGCUUAUGUGGCCAUAAAUAACUACUGAUGUAAAACUAAGGCUUUAUGGAAAAUAACAUGAAAUUUAAAGCCAUAUUAAAGAAUUCCAAUUAUAUUAAAGAAUAGGAAAUGAGAAAAUUAAUUAAUUGUAUUAUUUUGCCAUAUCAUAACAAUAGGCUCUGCUGAAAUGUCCUACGUAAAGUUGUGAUAGUAUCAAACAGGAAACUGCUCCUGAAUUGGCUUCAGGUUCUUAAAUAUAGGUUGUGACAAUAAAUCAUUUUUCCCAUUUCUCAACCCAGGAAGUAAUAAUUUCUUAUCAAGCUGCAUAACAUCGUUCUUAAAUUGAUUAGAUGCAACUUGUCAAAAAAUGUUUUGACACUAAGACUCAUGAAAAAACUACCGCUCAAAAAACCAGAAGGAUUAUGCAUGUAACAAAGGAUUCCACAAGUCAUGACAAUUAAGAUUGUCCUAUAUGGGCCUAUGCAAGCUAUUUCUCAAUGGAUGGAAAGAUCUGCUUUUCUCAAAUACAGGUUCUCAAUUUUCACCUCAAACCAAAAAAAAAAUUAAAGAAAGAAAAAAGAAACAAAAUAAUUUCAAAAGCAAUUGAAAUUUCAAUGCCAAACUCCUAGAAAACAACGUCCAGUUCUUGCUUUUUUGGCUGUAAACCAAUAAAAUAUAUGAAAAGCCAUGUGAAAGCAGAAACCCUACCCUGACACAUAAAUAGAAUCCAAAAUGAUGUCCAAAUUAAUUUAAGUGCUUUGACUCUUCUCUGUGUGAUCACAACCCUAUUUGCAUAUUUCUCUCAGUAAAACAGGAGGAGGUGUUCAAAG